UUUUCAUUAUUCUGUGGGUGCAAAAUUGUAAAAUAAAGUUAAGAAAUAAAUAAAAGAGGGGAAAAUUAAGAAAAUAAGAGAAAUUCUUUGAUGCAAACACAGUAUAUGUGGUGGGGACAUUGAAUGUGUUGCUUCUGUGUCUCCUCUACACCUAAAAUAUUCUCAGCAAGAGUAAUUGAGCUGCUUUAUAGCAUAUCCACUCUUUUCCUCUGUUUAUAGAGAAUGUUCUUUUUUACUUAUGUCUAGUAUUUAUUGAUCUUCUUUAUUC
rnacentral:misc_RNA from 1 species